CGCUCCCUUUCCUACUGCGGGGGCGGUGGAAAAAGGCGUGGGGGAGGGGUGGGGAAGGGAGGACGCGGGGGCGGGGCAGCGCUCGAGCCCCGCCCCCGGGGAGGGCCGAGGCUGCACGGCCACUGCUCCCCUCCCCCACGCACCCCGCCGCGACACCCUCAGGGCGCGGGGGUGCCAGUGCCGACAGCCCGUGAGCCCCGCCUCCGCGUGCGCGCGGCGGGUCCCGAGUAGAAACAGAGCCAGGGAGAAAGGACUCAAGGUUCAACUCAUAGUUAAUCUUGUUUCAUGUGUGCCCUUCUGACUUCUUUCUUUGAGUAUUUUGAAGCGAAUACUCAACAUCUCAUUUCAUCUAUUCAAAGGUGGAUCAGCUGAACUGAAGACAUCAUUUGGCAAGCUACAGGAGAAGUGGAGCAGGGGUCAGCACUGGGAGAACUGUCCGGCAUGUUCAGGGCCAGCGCCAGGGAGCCACACAAGGACCAACGUCUAUACAGCAUUGAUUGCCUUUCAGUGGUGCACAACAUGCAGUCAUGUGACAUUGUCACCUUAGCUGUGUGUUUGGUGGUUGAGUGUUGUGGUCCUUCCGUUGACAGCAGCCUGCACAUAGCUGUGGUUCUUGACUAAGAGAGUGAAGAAAGUCUGUUUAAUGACACAGCUGGGUCUGGUUACAAACAUCAGAAACUGCAAAAGGAAGACAGGCAGUUACAUGGACGGCUGCAUGAAGAUGGCACAGGAGGGACACAAGUACAAUAGCCACAGCAGCAAAACAUCCUUGAGGAAGAUACACAUGACCACGAGGCACACAUGGCGGGUCCCCAGCAACAUCUAUCUAGAUGGGUAGACAGGACCGACUGCCAGCCAGCAGCCAGGAGGGGAAGGGGAGGGAAGGCGCUGGGCGCUCAGAGCUCCAGGAUGAGAUGUCAUCACUGCCCCACUGACAGCACCCUGGAUCCCCCUCCCACCAGGGCUAUCUUAGCGGCAAAGGCAGAGCUGGCAUUUGAAGUUCCUUGACCAUGGCCGCUCCCCCAGUGCAGUCAGCCUGUCCAGGACUCCUGGCCCCCUCUCUCUGCACCUUGGCCAUUUGGGGGCAAGUCAGGGAGGCACAUCCUUUUGUUGCGGGUAGAGGUAGGGAGAGCCAAAGCCUUUUUGCCUGAAGUGGGAAGCAGGAAUGUGGGGAGCUGGUCAGAGAGAAUGAGCUGGGCUUUACUGGCAAGAUGGGUCACCCCAACCCUGCCCAUGCAGGCCCAGGUCCUCUCUGUGCUGAUGUGGGACCCUUGUCAUCUCUGCCAGAACACUGUUCUCUGCCUGGAAGCUACCAGGACCCCUCAGUGGGCAGAACCGAGGCUUCACACGUGCCUCUGGGCCCUCCGUGAGUCUAUUCUGUUUUGUAAAUAAGUUCCUAGUAUUUUUACUUACUCCCUGGGCAAGUUAUUUAAUGUCUGUAUUUCCUCGUGCAUAAAAUAUCCAUCUUGCAGAGUCAUUUAAGAUUAAUUAUCAUUUGCCACAACUAUUUAUCAAGCAUUUACUAUUGGUCAGUCACUAUGCUAAGAACUUUCAUUGUCUACUACUCCAGCCAUACAGGUGAAUUGUCAUUGUGCUGUCUCAUGAGAUAAUGUAUGUAAAGCCCUGUCAUAGUGACUGGCGUGUACUUGGACAGGGGUUGGCAGACUGCAGCCCUUGGGCCAAAUCCAGCCUGAUGCCUAUUUUUAUAAGUUAAGUUUUGUUGGAACACAGCCAUGCCCAUUUGUUUACUCUUUUCUGUGGCUGCUUUUGCACUAUAAUGGCAGAACUGAAGAGUUGUGACAGAGACCAUAUGGCCUGCAAAGAGAAAAAUAUUUGCUAUCUGAUCCUUUACAGAAAAAAUUCACCAACUCUUAUAGUAGGAGACCAACAAAAGUUACUUGGAUGUACCUUUUUCUGGCCAUGCCUCGCAGCAUGCGGGAUCUUAGUUCCCUGACCAGGGAUCAAACCCGGGCCCCCUGCAGUGGAAGCUUGGAGCCCUAACCACUGGACCACCAGGGAAGUCCCCAACUUUGAUGUACUUUUUAUCCAAACAGGAGGCCAGAAAAAUAAAGCACACGAGCAGGGCUAGAUAGUGGGUCACGAAUGACUACUUCCAAGGGUGAAAAGAUUUUUACCAAAAAAUAAAAAUAGGGCUUCCCUGGUGGCGCAGUGGUUGAGAGUCCGCCUGCCGAUGCAGGGGACACGGGUUCGUGCCCCGGUCCGGGAAGA